rnacentral:rRNA from 2 species
CGCGCCUGCAGUCGCAGUACUCUGGUAUUGAUUGGUGCUUGCAUCAUGAUUUACAUUUGAGUGAGUGGCGAACUGGUGAGUAACACGUGGGAAACCUGCCCAGAAGCGGGGGAUAACACCUGGAAACAGAUGCUAAUACCGCAUAACAACUUGGACCGCAUGGUCCGAGUUUGAAAGAUGGCUUCGGCUAUCACUUUUGGAUGGUCCCGCGGCGUAUUAGCUAGAUGGUGGGGUAACGGCUCACCAUGGCAAUGAUACGUAGCCGACCUGAGAGGGUAAUCGGCCACAUUGGGACUGAGACACGGCCCAAACUCCUACGGGAGGCAGCAGUAGGGAAUCUUCCACAAUGGACGAAAGUCUGAUGGAGCAACGCCGCGUGAGUGAAGAAGGGUUUCGGCUCGUAAAACUCUGUUGUUAAAGAAGAACAUAUCUGAGAGUAACUGUUCAGGUAUUGACGGUAUUUAACCAGAAAGCCACGGCUAACUACGUGCCAGCAGCCGCGGUAAUACGUAGGUGGCAAGCGUUGUCCGGAUUUAUUGGGCGUAAAGCGAGCGCAGGCGGUUUUUUAAGUCUGAUGUGAAAGCCUUCGGCUCAACCGAAGAAGUGCAUCGGAAACUGGGAAACUUGAGUGCAGAAGAGGACAGUGGAACUCCAUGUGUAGCGGUGAAAUGCGUAGAUAUAUGGAAGAACACCAGUGGCGAAGGCGGCUGUCUGGUCUGUAACUGACGCUGAGGCUCGAAAGUAUGGGUAGCAAACAGGAUUAGAUACCCUGGUAGUCCAUACCGUAAACGAUGAAUGCUAAGUGUUGGAGGGUUUCCGCCCUUCAGUGCUGCAGCUAACGCAUUAAGCAUUCCGCCUGGGGAGUACGGCCGCAAGGCUGAAACUCAAAGGAAUUGACGGGGGCCCGCACAAGCGGUGGAGCAUGUGGUUUAAUUCGAAGCUACGCGAAGAACCUUACCAGGUCUUGACAUACUAUGCAAAUCUAAGAGAUUAGACGUUCCCUUCGGGGACAUGGAUACAGGUGGUGCAUGGUUGUCGUCAGCUCGUGUCGUGAGAUGUUGGGUUAAGUCCCGCAACGAGCGCAACCCUUAUUAUCAGUUGCCAGCAUUAAGUUGGGCACUCUGGUGAGACUGCCGGUGACAAACCGGAGGAAGGUGGGGAUGACGUCAAAUCAUCAUGCCCCUUAUGACCUGGGCUACACACGUGCUACAAUGGAUGGUACAACGAGUUGCGAACUCGCGAGAGUAAGCUAAUCUCUUAAAGCCAUUCUCAGUUCGGAUUGUAGGCUGCAACUCGCCUACAUGAAGUCGGAAUCGCUAGUAAUCGCGGAUCAGCAUGCCGCGGUGAAUACGUUCCCGGGCCUUGUACACACCGCCCGUCACACCAUGAGAGUUUGUAACACCCAAAGUCGGUGGGGUAACCUUUAGCGAGCGCCACCUAAUCUGACUAGU